rnacentral:rRNA from 1 species
CUUGCUUUCUGCUAGCGGUCUGGGGGCUCCCGGUUUUGGCAAUCCGUCAUCGAGCUCCUUCCAGUCCUCCGGAUCAGGACAUCAAUCGAGGUUGGAUCCGGCACUGCCACACUAUUCUGGUUCGAUGGAUGGACUGGCGACUUGCCCCUCGCGGCCCGCUUUUCCGACCUAUUCUCCAUAGCGGUUGCCCCACAAAACUCUGUCGCGACAGCCCUUAUUGACUUGGGGCAACUUGCGUUCCGGAGACCUUUUGGCCCAGCCGAGACCACAGACUGGCGGGAGCUGCUCGACUGCAUUGCCUUGCACGAGCCAGAUCUUACGACCGAAGAUGACCGAUCUAGUUGGUGACUAGAGCCUUCUGGACAAUUCUCCACCAACUCUCUCUACCAGGCCAUCGCCCCCUCGCCUGGACAUGAGGCGCUCACCUCCAUCUGGGAGAUUCGCCUUCCUCUGAAAAUUAGGAUCUUCUUGUGGCAAUGGAUUCGCAGUCGCCUCCUGUCCGGCGUGGAGGUCCUGAAGCGCAAUGGCCCUGGUGAUGGGCGAUGCCCGCUCUGCGGGCCGGAAGAGGAUUCGAACGAUAUCUUCUUCACCUAA